GCGCACUUAGCCCAAUGGUUAGAGCAUCACUGAUGAAUGCUGAGGUUGUGGGUUUGAGUCCCACAGUACACA
rnacentral:tRNA from 1 species